rnacentral:tRNA from 1 species
GCGGGUGUGGUUCAAUGGCAGAAUACCAGCUUCCCAAGCUGAAGACGGGGGUCCGAUUCCCCUCACCCGCU